AGCAAGGAAGCUCAUCUUGUCAAACCAUUCUGGAGGAGACAUACUUUCUUCGAAUAAGAGCUGCUAUCUGGACAUCUUUGCUCCAACAAGACAAUUUUGCAAACCUCUUAUUUGCCAAUUUUUUGUAAGUUCUAACGCUCAUGUGCUAAUUUCUGGAUUCUGGAUGGGACCGGAUGUAGAAGAUGGAUGGGGUUUUGUAGAAGCAAUUGUGCAUCAAAUGUAUUAAUUCUUAUAAUUGAUCAUUUUACUUGCUUUUUUUCCUCCUGGUCUUAUUACAUGGUUAUGCAAAGAGUGGUUUGAUUUAUCUUGAAAUAUCUGAUAUCUUGACAUAUAUUAGAGUAAGGAUUAUUCUAAUUGUACAUCAAAUAUGUAUCAAGGGUUACAUAAAAUACAAGUGACUUUCCACCAACCAAUUACAUAAUGCCACUUAUACAUUAUGUAACCCUUGAUGUAUAUGAAGCAAAGCCCUUAGAAUAAAGCCAACGAGAUCAAAUGGUCAAUUCUGUUCUACUAUAAUCCUCUUUCAUGGCCACUUGUAUGUAGUAGUUGGCUUUCAAUUUUUUGAACCAAUUUGCUGGAUACUUGAGCAUUUGAAGUGCAAAUGGUGCUGUCAUUUCUCUUACCAGAAUUGAGCCAUUCUACCUCUUCCCUUCCUACCGAAAGUUUAUUAAGAUUUUUCAGCUUUUAUGUCCCUUCCUUAUGCCACAUUCUUCAAUCCUCCAUCAAGGUCUAAAUUCAUUGUCUUCUACCCGCCGUCGCAUUUCAAUCUUCCAGCAAUGUGUAAAAUUGAUUAUUGAUGCUCAUUAAGUCGAGUUUUAAGGGGUGGCUUCUCUUUCCAGCGUCUCGGAAAAAAUGUGUCAUGGUGACUAAUAUACUGAGAUUUGUGAUAGAUAUCUCGGAAGGUUGUCAUUGUAACUUUACCAUUCAAGAGGUAUAAAAUGGAUUGAACUGUGACAUAGCUGGCCGAUCCAUAUGGAUUUCUUUUUCGUACUUCCAUUUGUUUUUCUUUUUUCUUUAAAUGGACAAGCAUUGCUGGAAACAAAAAAAAUAAAAAUAAAAGCGCACCCAUCGGCCACCCGGUAGGCUCUAGACAGUGUUGCUCCUUCUGGCUUUUACUCAUUUCAGAAGCGCUUCAGACCUGUCAUUUCCACGCCCUUUGGCAGGUGGCAUGUGGGCACCAAGUGUCGAGGAAUUCACAAUACUGUGAGAAGAGUAACCAGGGGUUAUACUACUGCCUCCUUGUUGUAGCCUCCAGGUCGCUGCAUUUGAAUUAGGCUGUAAAUGUGAUGGAACGCUAGUGAAGGCAUGAGAGUUCCCCUCAGCAUGGCUAGAGACGGUAGUGUCUGAAAUGCGUCCUUGGCAGCUAGAAGAUGAUGUAUUAUCCUGAGAUUGUAAACUCCCAGAAUAUGCCCAGCUCUUUCUUCUGUUAUAAUGACUGCCUGCUGCCACUUUUCUCAAAGGCGAUCCAUGACAAUUACCUCUUACAGGGGAAGUAGGACCAUAAAGUCCAGGUGAACCAGCAGAAAUCUGACAAUAUGAGCUAGGUGGAGUAAAUUGUGAAGGACUAGAGCCGAGGGACAUGGGUACAAAAUUUCCAGGGCUGAAACCAACCCCAUUCCCAUGCGGUAAAUGCAUGAUCCGCCUCGCAUCAGGGCUACUUCCAAGAAUUGACACGCCACUUUGUGCAUAGAUAUUCAUUCCUGAUGGACCCACUGGUGAAUAAAAUGCAGGCAAAUCAUUAUUAUCACCAUAGCUCCCAUAACUGCUUCCUAGCCCCAUGCCAUCAUUGUAGCUACUGUGGCUGCCCAGACUACCAUAACUACCUGCAUGCACAUACGACAUGACUUGAUGACGCUGGGUAUUUGGCAUCAUAACUUGGUUCCUGCCUGAAAUCUACAUAAUGAGGUAAAGCAAGAAGAUUAUUCAAGUGUUAACAACAUUCAUAUAAAUGAAAACAGAAGAAUACCAGGAAAUAGCUUGCUCACAUUAGGGGAGAGACCAGCAGCAAACCAAUGCCCACCAGCUGGAUGAUGGUCCACCUUAACAUUUUGAGAGACGGGCUAUAAAAGAAAAGGUACAAGUAACGAAAUAUGCAACGGAAGCAAUACAAGGGAAAGUCAAAAUGCACAUAUUACUGAAACUAUCCAUGAACACGGCUUCUACUGCAUUAAUAUGCCAUUGCGUACAAAGCGAACCAAUAAAAGUCGAAUUUUUCAUAUUUUAGAUAAGGAAACAUUUACAAUUUCACUAAACUUGAUUCUCACAACCACAAGAGUAUCAAGAUAAGUUAGGAAUUAAAAAGGAAGGGAAGGUUAGUAGUGUCAUAAGUAAUUAGAUGAGAAGUCAAUCAAAUGAAAAAUUACUCACCACACGAGGUGUCUCUGGAGCAGGUUUAUAAGGACUUGUAAAAGGUUCUCCAGUCACAAAAGGAUGUUUUGAAGCCUGCAGAGAAAAACUAGAAUAAUCAAUCUUAUGCAGCAAUGAAGAUCAUUAGUCACUUUAAUUGUACAAUCUGUUCCACUUCAAGAUCAAGGAAGCCUCUACCAAACUGCCUUUUUAAUUAAAAAUCAUUUCUAGAGAUAAACCUAUUAAAAGGCUGGAAAACUUUUACCAAAGUUAAGUUACUAAACAAAUAUAUAAAGAUAUUAGAAGUUAAACCAACAUCACAUUUCACAUUUUGGAGGUUAUGAAUUGUAUACACCUGGCCUAGGAGCCAGAAAAAUACUAAAAAUGAGAUAAGCAACUAUACAACCUUUCUAAAAAUUUGACAGUUUAACUUGGAAAUGUUUUAACAAAAUAUACAUGGCAACUGGGCUCUUGUCUAUAUUUGACCCAACCUAACAAUAUGGUCCUGGAACGAAAUUAAAGCAAGCAGGUGCAUUCGUAAAGAGUGAAAUUUACUUCCCUCUUGGGAAUUUAUUUUUCUGGAGUAGAGAAAAGAGCUUUGAAAGAUUAGAAACUUAUUGCUCUUAUAGCAUCUUCUGCUAUCUCUUAGCAGCUCUGAACUAUAUACCUCCCGCGUAUGGAUACACCCUCCGGACGCCUCACAAAAAAAAUAUCCCUUACAUUACUUAUCAAACAUAGCAAACUCAUUAGUCAAGCAGAGCUGGUUCAUUACUCUCGUGAAGCGUAUAACUUCACCCUGACCACCACACAAACUUAAACCAACAUAUUUGCAAGAAAAUUGUUAAUAAAGUAAUAAUACUAAAAAGUUAAACGCACCAUGUGUACUGUUCUCUCUUAUAAGCCCUUGUUUGAGCCACAUUAUAUUCCAAAGAAUGCAUUUUUGAAUAGUGUAUUGAUGGAAAAUGUGUGGUUAAAAAAUAAAGAAAAUUUUGAAUUUGCGUGUAAUGUUAUUUUAUUGAAGAAUGUGUGGUUGAAAUGAUGUCAAAUCGCCUUUUUUUUUUUUUUUUUUUAUAUGAUAAGGCAAGUGUAUUAUUUUUAACUUGUGAAAGUAGAGUACAAAAUCACGAGGUCAUACCCUAGAAAACUAGGCUAGGAAUAUAUGUCAUCCCAGCACCAAUAAGUAAUCAAGAUUAGUGCUUAAUCCUAACCAUGUCAAUAAAAAAUAUUCGUAGAAAAACCCCAUGAGCGUUGGAACCAUCUAUUUUCGUUAGAUGGAACCAAGCCCCUACAUAAAUUUACUAGUGCACAAAUAGAAAAAACUAUGCCUCGAAUAACAACAUACUCAUGUUUAGGAGCCUCGCCAUGGGGUCCUAGUAUUACGUUCGUGCCAAAUAGCAUAAAUUGAAGCCGCAAACAUCAUACGAAUAGCAAUAGAUUGCAUAGACCUCCCAUGAAACUUCUCCAUCCAAGAAAGAGUAUCUGUCCAACUCCACUGAACCCAAGGUAGGUUACAUUUUGCACGCAAAGGAUGCCAAACACGCUCAGAAUAUGGGCAAGUAAAGAAAAGAUGAUCCAAAUCCUUCUCUGAAUAGCGACACAACACACAACGCAUAGACGGUAUCAAACCAAAGUGAAGAAGUUUGGUCUGUGUAUAGAGGCCACCUUGAAUUGCUAGCCAAAGGAUAAAUGCAUAACGAGGAAUACAUUUAGGGAACUAGAUAAUGUGAUACCAGGUCACCCUAGGGCAGUGAACUCGAAGAGACUCCCAAGCACUCCGAAUAUAGAAGACUCCAUGCACAUCAUCCACCCAUCGCAAGACAUUCUCUCUAGUACUAUCUGGUCGAAAAGUAUCAAGCGUAUCUCGCAUGAAGUUAGACAACACUGAGGAACGAGCUGAUGGCCAACUCCAAGUAUCACCCUCAAUAAUGUCAACCUUGUCUGCUCAAUCUAGAUUCAUGAAUGAUCCUUUCACCAAGAAUCUUCUCUAAAGGGCCAAGAGGAUGCCAAUUAUCAAACCUAAGCGAAGCACGUCUACCAUUACCAAUUUUGAAUUUCAUUUUGUCCCUCUCCAUAUCCCGAAGUCCAAGAAUCUUCCUCCAACUCCAAGAGCAAUCUCCAUGACAUUUCAAUUCCCAAAUGCUCCUGCCUCUAAGUAAGUAGCAUUGUGCCCAUGAAACCCACGGAGAGGAGGCUGAAUUCGUACAAAGGGACCAAAGGUGCUUUUAUUCCAAAUCUCCAUGCUCCGUAGACCCAAACCACCCUCAUCCUUAGGCAUACAGAUUUUUGCCCAUGCCACUUUAGUCCUAUCGGUGCUGAGGGCACAACCCUUCCACAAGAAGGCUCGUAGAGUAUCUUCCAUUGUUUGAUCACAGCUUUUGGUAAAAUAAAUAUAGAAGACCAAUAUACUUGAAUAGAAAUAGUACAUACUUAAUAAGCUGUAACAGCGCUCGGCAAGUCCAACUCUUCGCUCUAGUUAUAAUUCGAUCCACCAACACCUUACAAUCCAAAACUCGCAAAUUAGUAGAGAUGAGUGGGACACCAAGAUAAUGUACCAAUAACACGCCCUCCUUAUACCCAAAAAUAUCAAGCAACUGAUCCUUAAGAUAUGAAGAAAUACCGCUAGCAAAUAGAUUACUCUUAUCUGGAUUAGGAAUAAGUCCAGAUAGAGCUUUAAAUCGAUUAAGGCAAUCCUUAAUGAGAGAUACGAAACCAACCUCAACUCUACAAAAAAACCAUAAGAUCAUCAGCAAAACACAAGUCGGUGAUCUUUUCCUUCUCACAUCUCCAAUGGUAUUUGAAAUCCUGCUCAGCAACCAUCAAACCCAUUAAUCCCGAAAAGACCUCCAUUGCCAAGACAAACAAAUAAUGCGACAAAGGAUCUCCUCGUCUCAAACCUCUCCCACCAGCAAAGAAACUAUGCAACUCGCCAUUAAUUGAAAUUGAAAAUUGAGUGGAAGUGAUACACUCAGUUAUCCACUCAACAACCCCCUCCGGAAAACCAAGCACCCUUAGAACCGCAAGGAGUAAAUCCCAGCGAACAGAAUCAUAAGCUUUCAUGAGAUCAACUUUAAGAGCACAUCUAGGCACCAUUCAAAUUCUUUCAUCUUAGUGGGAUUAUUGAGCAUGGCUGCUGGAACAGUUUUUCUCUAUCUGAUUCUUCAUAAAUCGAUGUAAUUUGCAUUCUCAACACGAACUUAGUUGCGUGUAGGAAAUGAUGUUGGCAUGUGGCUACUUUUCCAACCCUCUAGGAAUGUGGAUGACUUCUGCAUUUCUUUAGUUUCAUUUUUCUCAUCUCAUCUCCAUUGCACUAUUAUUUUUUCCAAUCCUAUCUUUUUCUUUUUCUUUUUUUUUUUCUUUCUUUUUUUCCUUCUAAUGAAAAGAAAAUUUUAAAAAUGCACUGAGCAUCCUAGUAGUAUCUUAUUGCUAUUACAAAUAACAUGGUUGUGUUCGUGUUUAAGUUAAGAUACUUGUUUGACCAAAUUGCAUUGAAAAAUUAGACAAUCAAAUGUUUGAUACUUGGAUUUACACAUGUACCUGAGUCUGAGAAUUAGUCUUCUGUCAAUAUUUUGGUGCAGAUUUUCUGAAGCAAACUCAAAUAGAUAUUCAACAGCUUUAUCUAAUUUGGAAUAAAUGUUUAAGUUUAUUAUUCUACUCAAUUUUUUAAAUGUUAUUCUAGGUUAGAAACAGAAAUGCAACGAAAUAUACAGACUGUUUCUAGUCUUGCUACCUUGUGUCGUGGAUAUUAGAAUGGUAACAUGGGUGUGUUAUUAGUAUUUCUUGGUUUCUUUUCUUAUUGUCAUCUCCUGGUCGCAUUAAUGUGAAAUGGCAAAUUUAUGUUUGUCAAAGAAAAAAAUGGAAACAAAAAUAAUAUGCAUUUACCAGCAUCUCAUUCAAUUACUUUAUGCAUUUGAAUUUGUAAGUUCCAUCUGUUACAAACUAUAUAAUUGCAUAGUUAGGUUACUGUCAUUGGUUUGAUAGUUUUCUCGGCAAGUUUCAUCUACAGAUGCAGAAUACAUUUUUUAUGGUCACUGUAGAUGUGAUUUGUAACUAAUUGACUAUUUAUACUUGAUGUAUUCCCCAUCCUUUUAAAACUACUUACUUCUACAAACAUUCUUGUUCGACCACACACUUGUGCCAAAGAGAGUGAAUUAUCAUUUGAUGAUGUUGGUCAUCUUUUAUACUCACUGUUAUAUGGGAUUGCUGUAGGGAACAAACAUUAGGAGAUUGACAAGUGAAAGGUUUAUGUGCCCAUUAUCCAGAAGAACAGGUUCUUUCUUCAGUCUCUUGCUGGGUCCUACUAUGCACAAAAGAAGUUUCUUGAUUAUAUUAUAACCUGGAAUAAGCAUAAUGUCAUUUUUCAAAUCACGAGGGCUUCAGGCCAGAACAUUCAGAUUUGGACAGUACAUGAAGCAUUAAUAACAAAACUUCUAAAAUUAUUCAGCCAGAUUUCUGUGAGCUGAGAAUAUAAAAGGAAAUGUACGUCCUUAUUAUGUUCACGCUAAAGGAAAAGGAGAAAAAAAAAGUAGCAUCAAUAUUUUCUUUAACAAAUUAUAUUAUCUUCUAGCUAAGAGAUUACCGGAAACCAAAUGGAAGCUAAAUUGAUGAGUUAGUCGAGGCAUUUCUUCUAUAUGCUAGGGGUUUGCUUUUCUGCCUCACAUUAUGACUCACCAUUUACUUGUGGAACAGUUAGUAGUUAUUAUCAGGAUUUUAUUAUUUAGUUCAUAAGUUCUUCAAUUAAUAAGCGGGACAUUUUGGCAUGUUAUUUCUUUCUAUCAGCAAAGAUGUUAGGAAUUAGGAUUUGCUUUUUGAAUGAAUGGAACAAGAUCCAUCUAGCAAAGGGUAUAUGAUGUUAUGUCAAGACUAAUAUGGUUACCACUACUCUUCUAUUUUUAUUCAUCUUCCUCAGAGACGUCUUUCUCCUCUAGAUUUUACAAGAAAAAGAAUUGUACUAAUUGCAUAUAUAAUAUAUUCUCCUCAAAAGUUCUUGACAAUGAUAUACAGAAUGUAAUGAUGUGUUCCCUAAUCGGCUAAUCCAAUACGCUUAAUUUCUAAAUCACUUGAUGUUUAUUAAGAAAACAGUAACGAUUUUUGUACAUGUCAAAUCAAGGAAAUUGUUUUUCCCUCCUUUGCCAUAUACGUGUGUUUAAACAUGGACGUUCUGUUCUUUAAAAUGUUUCAGAGUGAAGUUGCAUGAUGAUAUACAGAAACCUUUUCCAUUUCCCUUGUAGGCAUGAAAACACCGAAGAUUUGUUAGUUGAAAAAUAAAUAAAUAAAUUGGCACAAUCUAGAGAACUGCGAUGCCAACUAAAUAACCUUAAAAAUGAUUGGAAGUGAACUCGCUCUGUAUCAAAAUUUUGUUUGGGUCUACAAAGUAGACUAACUCUAAAUGAUAUGUCAUGAAAUUAAUGUUAUAGCUUUGUGAUGCUCGAGUAAUCCUGUUUCUAGUACGUAUUAAUGGUUGACAACUUGAGUUUUUUUUUGCAGCAAGGAAGCUCAUCUUGUCAAACCAUUCUGGAGGAGACAUACUUUCUUCGAAUAAGAGCUGCUAUCUGGACAUCUUUGCUCCAACAAGACAAUUUUGCAAACCUCUUAUUUGCCAAUUUUUUGUAAGUUCUAACGCUCAUGUGCUAAUUUCUGGAUUCUGGAUGGGACCGGAUGUAGAAGAUGGAUGGGGUUUUGUAGAAG
rnacentral:lncRNA from 1 species